rnacentral:rRNA from 1 species
CAGUCGCCGCGGGAAUACGAAGGGGGCUAGCGUUGUUCGGAUUUACUGGGCGUAAAGCGCACGUAGGCGGGCUUUUAAGUCAGAGGUGAAAUCCCAGGGCUCAACCCUGGAACUGCCUUUGAUACUGGAAGUCUUGAGUAUGGAAGAGGUGAGUGGAAUUGCGAGUGUAGAGGUGAAAUUCGUAGAUAUUCGGAAGAACACCAGUGGCGAAGGCGGCUCACUGGACGACUGUUGACGCUGAGGUACGAAAGCGUGGGGAGCAAACAGGAUUAGAUACCCCUGUAGUCCCUGUCUCUUAUAU